rnacentral:misc_RNA from 1 species
GAUGAAGAACGUAGCGAAAUGCGAUAAUUAAUGUGAAUUGCAGAAUUCCGUGAAUCAUCGAGUCUUUGAACGCACAUUGCGCCUCAUGGCAUUCCGUGAGGCAUGCCCAUCUCAGCGUUAGAAAAUAUUCUCAAAUUUUAGUUUUGUGCUAAAAUUUGGAUCAUGUCAAAGAAGCUAUUACUAUUAUUGUGAUCGCUCUUUGGAAAUUGAUAGGUCUUUGAGUUGCUACUCAUAGAACGUGAUGAAUCUUUCUUCGUUCCAUUGUAAUUCACUCUGGUAGUCCUAAAACUUGUAUGCCUGUGGCAUAUCUUGUAAUUUGACCUGAGAUUGGGUAGGGAUACCCGCUGAACUUAAGCAUAUCAAUAAGCGGAGGA